rnacentral:rRNA from 1 species
AGGGAUGACUGUGGCUAGGGGUGAAAGGCAUCAAACUCGAGAUAGCUGGUUCUCCGCGAAAUCUAUUUAGGUAGAGCGUCGGAUGAAUACUUCAGGGGGUAGAGCACUGGAUGGGCUAGGGGGUCCCAACGACUUACCAAACUAACCAAACUCCGAAUACUGAAAGUACUAUCCGGCAGACACACUAUGGGUGCUAAGGUCCAUAGUGGAAAGGGAAACAGCCCUGACCGCCAGUUAAGGUCCCUAAAUCACGUGCUAAGUGGGAAAGGAUGUGAGGAUCCCAAAACAACCAGGAUGUUGGCUUAGAAGCAGCCAUCAUUUAAAGAAAGCGUAACAGCUCACUGGUCUAAAUAAGGGUCCUUGCGCCGAAAAUGUAACGGGGCUUAAGCCGUGUACCGAAACUGCGGGUGCGUCUUUAGACGCGCGGUAGCGGAGCGUUCUGUAGGUCUGUGAAGGGUGCUCGCGAGAGUAUCUGGAGAUAUCAGAAGUGAGAAUGCUGACAUGAGUAACGAUAAACAGUGUGAGAGACACUGUCGCCGAAAUCCUAAGGGUUCCUGCUUAAAGCUAAUCUGAGCAGGGUUAGUCGGCCCCUAAGGCGAGGACGAAAGUCGUAGUCGAUGGGAAACAGGUUAAUAUUCCUGUACCGGUGGAUAGUGACGAAUGCCGAAAGUUGUCAAUCCUUAUUGGAUUGGGUUGGCAGCGUAGGAGUUCCAGGAAAUAGCUUCCACAUUAGACCGUACCCGAAACCGACACAGGUAGGAUGGUAGAGUAUACCAAGGCGCUUGAGAGAACUAUGUUGAAGGAACUCGGCAAAAUGCUCCCGUAAGUUCGCGAGAAGGGAGACCUCUUUCCAGGCAACUGGAUGGAGGUGGCACAGACCAGGGGGUGGCGACUGUUUACUAAAAACGUAGGGCUCUGCGAAGCCGUAAGGCGACGUAUAGGGUCUGACGCCUGCCCGGUGCUGGAAGGUUAAAUGGAGGGGUGCAAGCUCCGAAAUGAAGCCCCAGUAAACGGCGGCCGUAACUAUAACGGUCCUAAGGUAGCGAAAUUCCUCUCGUCGGGUAAGUUCCGACCUGCACGAAUGGCGUAACGACUUCCCCGCUGUCUCCAACAUAGACUCAGUGAAAUUGAACUCCCCGUGAAGAUGCGGGGUUCCUGCGGUUAGACGGAAAGACCCCGUGCACCUUUACUACAGCUUCGCACUGGUAUUCGUGACAGCAUGUGUAGGAUAGGUGGUAGGCUUUGAAACUGUGGCGCCAGCUGCGGUGGAGCCGAAAGAUGAAAUACCACCCUUAUUGUUAUGGAUAUCUAACUGCGGCCCGUUAUCCGGGUCCAGGACAUUGCGUGGCGGGUAGUUUGACUGGGGCGGUCGCCUCCCAAACAGUAACGGAGGCGCGCGAAGGUAGGCUCAGGCCGGUCGGAAAUCGGUCGUUGAGUGCAAUGGCAAAAGCCUGCCUGACUGCGAGACUGACAAGUCGAGCAGAGACGAAAGUCGGUCAUAGUGAUCCGGUGGUCCCGCGUGGAAGGGCCAUCGCUCAACGGAUAAAAGGUACGCCGGGGAUAACAGGCUGAUGACGCCCAAGAGUCCAUAUCGACGGCGUUGUUUGGCACCUCGAUGUCGGCUCAUCGCAUCCUGGGGCUGGAGCAGGUCCCAAGGGUUUGGCUGUUCGCCAAUUAAAGCGGUACGUGAGCUGGGUUUAGAACGUCGUGAGACAGUUCGGUCCCUAUCUGCCGUGGGUGUAAGAGAAUUGAGAGGAGCUGCCCCUAGUACGAGAGGACCGGGGUGGACGUACCUCUGGUGGACCUGUUGUCGCGCCAGCGGCAUAGCAGGGUAGCUAUGUACGGAAGGGAUAACCGCUGAAAGCAUCUAAGCGGGA